CGACCACUUUGACUUUGUUUUGCUUUUUUAUUUUAUUUUCCUCUUUAAUUUUUCCAGCAACAUGAUCACUGGAAAUUUGGAGUCAAGAAAAUUCAACCCCUCGGAUAGCUUAUGAACUGCACUCUCCGCUCUAGGAGAGCCCGGGAAUAUUGGCAGGCUGACUAAGAGUCUAGCAAUAACCGGUACUCUAAACUGCACUUUCUGGAAACCUGAAAGCUUUAUUUUGGGCUAUCCGAGUCAACAAUCUGUCAGUUCCCUCCUCCAGGAUGCAAUUACCAUCAGCACUAAAUAAUGCUGAACUUCCGACACUAGGCUACAUUCGCCAAAGGAAAGACCGGGUUUCCACAAUCCUGCAAGCAGACUUCCUCUCUCAUCUUCGGAAAUGUCCCAAUGUGGCAUCCACUGAUUAAGCGAUUCUGCGGCAGCGAAACCAUGGAGCGGAGUUCAGGAUUUCAGUCUGAUGAUUUUGUGACAGUGUUCUUCUCGAGAUGCAAAACGUCAGCAGGUCUCGGUGGGAUAUUUUUAACGGUAUCUGCUACCUGCUGAGAUUCCCCAAAAUUGAGAGAGCCGGUGGGACGGGGAAGCCGAGUUCUCUGCGGCCAAUCGGAUGGCCUCCUAUGCUACUGCAUCUCUGCUGGAGGAGCCUGAGGGAGUUGCUGAGUUUGUAUCCGUGGAUUCUUCAAUCCACCAUGGGGUCAGAGCCUGAAGAUGCAAUCAGUCUGCCCUAGUGGAAAGAACAGAGGCCUGGGAGUCAGAGAACCUGAGUUCUAGUCCUGCUCCGUAUUUUCCUGCUGUGAGACCUCGGAUAAGUCACUUAACCUCUCUGAGUCUCAGCUUGCUCAUCUGUAAAGUGCUGAUUCAAUACUGGUUCUUCCUCCUCCUGUGAGCUCCGUGGGAGACGGAGACUUUGUCCCUCCCGAUGACCUAGUAUCUACUUCAGCCCUCUGUAUAGUGUUUAACACCCAGUGAGCGCAUAAAAAUACCACAAUCAUUAAUAUUACAGUGACCUAGGGAUCAGCUCAGGCCAUAGGAUGGCUGAGGCAUAAAGAAGUUCAUCUCCUCAGACAUUCCUCCCCAAACCACUCAGCCUCCCAUUGUAGAAUGAAGGGGAUUGUCCUGUGUAAAAUAAGCUCCAAAGCAAGAAAGGUGAACGUGUUAGGAAGAUUGAUUUGGGAUGAGACAGAGAGGGAAUACGUUGCAAAAUGACAUAAAAUGGGGAUCUUGGUUGCCAGAUGAUGUGAGAUGCUGGCCCAUUGAGAGGAAUAUUGGAAAUGGCUCUGAGCGUCAAUGCGGGUGGAGAGAUUGACACAUCAGCUCAGCUGUUCCUUCCUUCACACAGCUUCCAUUUUGUUCACACGUUGGCGUAAACGGAAUAUAGCUCCUUACAGUUCCAGAGAGAUAUUUGGAAGAUGCUUCCCUCUCUUAAAAUAAAGCUAACUUGAAGAUGAAAGUAAUGUCUAUAUCCAAGCCCAUAUUUUCUCCGGGAAAAAAAAAAAGCCUUUCUUCUCUUCCAGAAAAUUAAAACAAGUUUCCAGCUAAAUCGCAAUCACUUUUUAAAAAUAAUAUAUUGUCUUCCUCUCCGUAUCUGGGCUGUCUAUUUAUUGCUUGCAUUUCCGUGUAAAAUUAAUGCCAUUAAGCUAAGCAGAGGCUGUUCCGAGUAGAAGAACGCUGACGUUUCAAAAUGGUAGCAACAUUAAAAAUGUAGCUUUUUCAAGGCAAGAGGAAAGGGAGAAGAAGGCAGAGCCACUGAGCUCUUAAGAAAGCUUUCAGGUGACAUUUGCAGAAUAUGAAAGAGGAGGGACUGACCAAAAUUGUCUGUUUUUAGGAGUAGGCGGCCUGAAGGGAGAGGCAGAAAGGCAGAGAGAAAUCCACAGCCCAUCGGUCGCUGGCUAGCUGCCUUGGAGAAGACAAAUAAUGCACCGUUCUGUAACUAGUAGCUUUUCAGGUACCUGCCAUGGUUAGUGAACAGAAUCUAAGGCCAGUUUAGAAAAAGGAAAGCAGAGUGGCCUAGUGGGAAGUGGGAGUCAGAGGACCUGGGUUCUAAUCCCAGCUCUGCCAAUUGCUUGCUGUGUGACAUUGGGAAAGUUGCUUAACUUCAUUCAGUUGCAUUUAUUGAGCACUUACUGAGUGCAAGGCACUAUACUAACUGCUUGGGAGAGUACAAUAGAGCGAUAAAC
rnacentral:lncRNA from 1 species